CGUGCCUUCAGGAAAGUUCCAGAGUUCUGAGGGAGAGAUACUUGAAGGUGAUGUGGAAAUUGUCAAGCAAUUUGGAAGAUUUGGAAAGAAAUUAGGAGGGAGAUGAUGGCUCAGUUCCUCUCCUAAAUGUUAAUGCAGCAAUAUUUUAAAAGGUCACUCAGGGGUGCACCCACCCCAAGGAUACCCUCCUCCUCCUCCUCCUGAGGGGAUGAGAGCUAAGAAAAGUGAACAGACCAUUUCUGUGGGGACCAAGAAUCCCUGAAAGUUGACCAAAGAAAUGCUUUUUGAACUUAUUCUGGCUGUAAACUACUUGGACUCAAAAGUUUGCUUGAUGCUACAUGUGACUACUGCCCACAUGAUCAAGGGGAAAACUGGAGAUUCUCAAGACCUUCAAUAUCAAAAACAAACAGGAAGAAGCCUGAGUGUGCAAAGAGAACAGUGGUGUAAGGAGC
rnacentral:lncRNA from 10 species